UAAUAUUGGUGGAAGUGGUGAGUAAAAGAUUUUCAUAGAAAGGAUGAGGACCCAGGGAAAAAAAGCAAUGUGGGGUCGUGAAGUGUGGAUGCUCUGAAUUUACGAACCAUGGGACCCAAAUGUAAGGAAUCGCUAAACAUAAAUUUAGUACCAUGAAAUUCGUAUCUGAAAGACCUGUAUUACUAUAUUAUAAGGAAUUACUAUAAACCCACUACUAUUUUACUCAUGAGGAAUGUAAUAUAAAUCACAUUGACGAUUAAUAUACAGCUUUGUAUAAUACACUGGACCCGAUCGUGCCUUGCAUUUCAAUGGUAGUUUCAUCAGUAAUCUUUUG
rnacentral:lncRNA from 1 species